UCCGUAGGUGAACCUGCGGUAGGAUCAUUA
rnacentral:rRNA from 1 species